rnacentral:rRNA from 1 species
GAGGAACUUUUCCAGAGGGUGGGGGACAACCCCGGGAAACUGGGGCUAAUACCGCAUAUGAGCUGAGGCUCAAAGCAGUGAUGCGCCUUUGGAGUGGCCUGCGUCCGAUUAGGUAGUUGGUGGGGUAAAGGCCUACCAAGCCUGCGAUCGGUAGCUGGUCUGAGAGGACGACCAGCCACACUGGGACUGAGACACGGCCCAGACUCCUACGGGAGGCAGCAGUGGGGAAUAUUGGACAAUGGGCGCAAGCCUGAUCCAGCAAUGCCGCGUGGGUGAAGAAGGUCUUCGGAUCGUAAAGCCCUUUCGGCGGGGACGAUGAUGACGGUACCCGCAGAAGAAGCCCCGGCUAACUUCGUGCCAGCAGCCGCGGUAAU